CUUCGGCUCCCUCGAUGGAUUUGCGGCGACGGGUGGGCGGAGUGGUGGUUGGCUCGCAUCGCCGGCGAGGCGGGGGAAAGGUAGCAGCGGCCGUGGCAUCUAGGUGGUCGGCUUCCUGGACGGAUGAACGUUGCAGCACCACAUCGAGCUGAACCGAGAUAAGUUCAGAUUUCAGAAUGGUUGUAGUUUGUCAAUCCGGGAGGACCUGCUCAACAAGUAUGCAGAACAGAUGGUUAACUACUGCAUCACGGCUUCAAACAAUAAUCUGGAUGAUUCAUUGGUUUCACCGGUGAACCUUGUGUGAACAAGAAGAAAGAACAACUUUUACAACUGGAGAACAAACUGGACUAUGUAUGUUCAGAACUACAAAGACAAGAACAUAUGUCAUGAUAAAAGACUCGAAGACGAAAAAUGCAAAUCUAGGAAAUGCGGUGAACUUUUCUGGUUCAUGCUAAUAUUGUAUGUAGCUAGAUUACUGAUUCCCACCCUAUAGGGUAAAGAUUAUAUAUCGUGUAAUCCGGUCUUUCAUUAUAUAGGUAAUGUCAGAUUCAUCAUAGUCUGAAGGUUACACACAGAUAUUUCAUAAUCGCAAACCCUUGCUUCACUCUCUGUA